CUGGCCAGUACAGGGAUCGACUCCUGGACCUCUUAUCAACACCACCUAAGCAACUGAGCUAACCUGCCAGCCAAGUGAAACCGUUCCAUUGAAGCUUCAGAAGGACAGGAAACAUUCUCGCCUCUGUCACUGCCGGAUCCACAGGUCUAGCAAAGCGCUGGACACAUGCCACUUUUGUCUUCAGCUAAAGCAGGUGGAAAAAAUGUUCUUCUGCAUUCCACAAGAGAGAAGACAGAGGCCUAUGGAAGGAAGUGACUCAUCCAGGUUCACAGAUGGAACCAGCCACCAAGCAUGGAAUGGAGGUCUGUUCUCUGACCCCGAAACCACGGCCUUCAUCAAGGCAGUCACCCCCUUCCUCAAGAGGAUGCUCCAACUCAUGCUUAGAGAUAUGGCCCCUGGAUUUGACAGGUGCCACUGGGAUCGGGCAGUAGGGCUCUCUCCCCCUGGUUCUUUCCAUUCCAAUCCACAAGACUAUUGGCCUUCGAAUAUGGAUUCAUGUAUAGCCCUUUAAAAGAACUUUCUCAGACUCUUUCUAAAGCAAGACACAUGACCCUCCAAGCUUGGAAAAACAAGAGCUCUUAAAGUUAGGAAAGAUGCCAGCUUCACAAGUCCUCAUCUCUUCUUGCUCUCCCUCUCCCUCUCAGCGUGUCCUCUCUUUUCAAUUCUCACUGCCACGACUGCACCCAGCCCAGGGUUACUAUUCCCCCACUCCCUCCAGCCAAGCCUAGACAAAAAUCCAGGCCUUUUGCUUCCCAUAUUUUAACUGAGAUUAGUGGGAAUUUUUAGAUUUACUGAAAAACUAAUACACAUCCUUGUGCAAGAACCUAGAGUGCCUUCUUGGGGUUUAUGGUACCAAGUACAGACUUCUACCUGGCUUUUAAGACCUUUUACCAUCUGACCUCCCUCUACCUGUUUGUACUUAGUUCUCACUACUCUGCAAUAUAAACCUUCCCUCACUGGGCCAGACUUCUCACUGCUUGUGUACACGCGUGCACACACGUGCACACCACAGUUAAACACAUGCUAGGUUUAUUCCCCACAACAUGUACAAUGUUUAUUUCCAGCUCAUCAUUUGCCACGAGUCUUGCCUGGAACUUCUUUUUUCCUGCCUUCUACCAAUCCCAACCUGACCCAUCUUUUAAGAUUUGUCAGGGUGGGGGGCUGGGGAGGGGAUUUGUUCAGGUCCAGCAAAUCCUUGUACUUUAGUGUCUCAGUUCUCUAAGCUUCUACUGCAUUUAUGGCUGGCUGUCACACUGUUUAAUGCUUAACAGCUGUUUCAAAAAUUAUGGUAAAAAACAUAAAAUAAUAUUUACUAU